rnacentral:rRNA from 1 species
AGUGAACGCUGGCGGUAGGCCUAACACAUGCAAGUCGAACGGCAGCACAGUAAGAGCUUGCUCUUACGGGUGGCGAGUGGCGGACGGGUGAGGAAUACAUCGGAAUCUACUUUUUCGUGGGGGAUAACGUAGGGAAACUUACGCUAAUACCGCAUACGACCUACGGGUGAAAGCAGGGGAUCUUCGGACCUUGCGCGAUUGAAUGAGCCGAUGUCGGAUUAGCUAGUUGGCGGGGUAAAGGCCCACCAAGGCGACGAUCCGUAGCUGGUCUGAGAGGAUGACCACCCACAGUGGAACUGAACCACGGCCCAGCCCCCCCGGGGGGGCAGAGGGGGGGAAUUUGGGACAGGGGGGCAAGGCCGAACCCACCCAUCCCGGGGGGUGGAAAAGGGCCUUGGGUUUUAAAGCCCUUUUGUUGGGAAAAAAAAACAAGCAGUUUAAACCCCCGUUUUUGUGACGUUCCCAAAAAAAAAACCCCGGCCUACUUUCGUC